rnacentral:lncRNA from 1 species
AAUAUCAAACUAGCUUAUUUCUUAUAGUGAAUUAAAAAUUUGCCAGCGUACUCAAAUAAAAAAAUUUAAAAAUUAUUCACUUUUUGUGUUAAAUGACUAAACUGCUCCUAAGAUUAAAAUUAAAAAAAUACUCACGUCACAUCUCACUCUCUCGUCUCGGUCUUUCUGUCUCUCUCAAUUUUUGCUGCAAUCGCAUAAGCUUCAACAAUUGAAUCGUGAUGGAUUAUCAUCGGCGAUCGAUCUAAUUUGGAAAACUAAAACUUGUUUAAAUUCAAUAGAGAAAGGGAGAGACUUACAGAUCUGUAGAUGGUGAAGAUGGAGAGGAAGAGGAGGAGAUGUAGGAAGAGGAGGCUGCGCGCCAUAGGAUGCUUGUUGUGGAAGCUUCUGGGUUUUGGUGUAAUGCGCAGUGAUGUUUGUCAGUAUGUGUGUUUAUAAUAAGUGUUUGAUGAAUUCAAAUUGAAAGGAAAAGGUAAGAAAAUUAGACCAUAAAUUAUUACUAAAAAUGUAGGUUUGGACUUUGGAGUUUGGACGCAGAGAUAGUGUCUAAACUUGUUGUGAUGUAAGCUUGGCUUAGAUCAUUAAUGAAUUCAAU